rnacentral:rRNA from 1 species
AACGAACGCUGGCGGCAUGCCUAACACAUGCAAGUCGAACGAGACCUUCGGGUCUAGUGGCGCACGGGUGCGUAACGCGUGGGAACCUGCCUUUAGGUUCGGAAUAACUCAGAGAAAUUUGAGCUAAUACCGGAUAAUGUCUUCGGACCAAAGAUUUAUCGCCUUUAGAUGGGCCCGCGUAAGAUUAGCUAGUUGGUGGGGUAAAGCCUACCAAGGCGACGAUCUUUAGCUGGUCUGAGAGGAUGAUCAGCCACACUGGGACUGAGACACGGCCCAGACUCCUACGGGAGGCAGCAGUGGGGAAUAUUGGACAAUGGGCGAAAGCCUGAUCCAGCAAUGCCGCGUGAGUGAUGAAGGCCUUAGGGUUGUAAAAGCUCUUUUUACCCGAGAUGAUAAUGACAGAUCGGGAGAAUAAG